rnacentral:rRNA from 1 species
CCUACGGGUGGCAGCAGUGAGGAAUAUUGGUCAAUGGGCGCGAGCCUGAACCAGCCAAGUAGCGUGAAGGAUUACUGCCCUACGGGUUGUAAACUUCUUUUAUAAAGGAAUAAAGUGAGGCACGUGUGCCUCUUUGUAUGGACUUUAUGAAUAAGGAUCGGCGAACUACGUGCCAGCAGCCGCGGUAAUACGGAGGGUCCGAGAGUUAUCCGGAUGUAUUGGGUGUAAAGGGCGCGUAGAUGGUUUGUUAAGUCAGUUGUGAAAGUUUGCGGCUCAACCGUAAGAUGGCAAGUGAUACUGGGAGUCUAGAGUAAAGGAGAGGUAAGCGGAAUUCGUGGUGUAGCAGUGAAAUGCUUAGAUAUCGCGAAGAACUCCGAUUGCGAAGGCAGGUUACUAAAC